UACGUAGGGGGCGAGCGUUAUCCGGAAUUACUGGGCGUAAAGCGCACGUAGGCGGCUUUGUAAGUUAGAGGUGAAAGCCCGGGGCUCAACUCCGGAAUUGCCUUUAAGACUGCAUCGCUAGAAUUGUGGAGAGGUAAGUGGAAUUCCGAGUGUAGAGGUGAAAUUCGUAGAUAUUCGGAAGAACACCAGUGGCGAAGGCGACUUACUGGACACAUAUUGACGCUGAGGUGCGAAAGCGUGGGGAGCAAACAGG
rnacentral:rRNA from 1 species